rnacentral:rRNA from 1 species
AUUGAACGCUGGCGGCAGGCCUAACACAUGCAAGUCGAGCGAGCGGCGGACGGGUGAGUAAUGUAUGGGGACUGCCCGAUAGAGGGGGAUAACUACUGGAAACGGUGGCUAAUACCGAAUACUGGCGGAUAACCCAUAUGGGAUUAGCUAGUAUGUAAGUUAAUGGCUUACCUAGGCGACUAUCCCUAGCUGGUCUGAGAGGAUGAGCAGCCACACUUGGACUGAGACACGGCCCAGACUCCUACGGAGGCAGCAGUGGGGAGUAUUGCACAAUGGGCGCAAGCCUGAUGCAGCCAUGCCGCGUGUAUGAAGAAGGCCCUAGUGUUGUAAAGUACUUUCAGUCGGGAGGCGUUACCGACAGAAGAAGCACCGGCUAACUCCGUGCCAGCAGCCGCGGUAAUAC